rnacentral:tRNA from 1 species
GGAAAGUUGGCUGAGCGGUUGAAAGCACCCGCCUACUAAGCGGGCGAGCCCAUAAAGCUUCGCAGGUUCGAAUCCUGCACUUUCCGCCA